UAACAUAAGUAACCUGCCCUAGACAGGGGGAGUAACUAUUGGAAACGAUAGCUAAGACCGCAUAGGUACGGACACUGCAUGGUGACCGUAUUAAAAGUGCUUCAAAGCACUGGUAGAGGAUGGACUUAUGGCGCAUUAGCUGGUUGGCGGGGUAACGGCCCACCAAGGCGACGAUGCGUAGCCGACCUGAGAGGGUGACCGGCCACACUGGGACUGAGACACGGCCCAG
rnacentral:rRNA from 1 species